rnacentral:rRNA from 1 species
ACAGCAGCAGCCGCGGGAAUACGGAGGGAGCUAGCGUUGUUCGGAAUUACUGGGCGUAAAGCGCGCGUAGGCGGUUACUCAAGUCAGAGGUGAAAGCCCGGGGCUCAACCCCGGAACUGCCUUUGAAACUAGGUGACUAGAAUCGUGGAGAGGUCAGUGGAAUUCCGAGUGUAGAGGUGAAAUUCGUAGAUAUUCGGAAGAACACCAGUGGCGAAGGCGACUGACUGGACAAGUAUUGACGCUGAGGUGCGAAAGCGUGGGGAGCAAACAGGAUUAGAUACCCGAGUAGUCCCUGUCUCUUAUAC